rnacentral:rRNA from 1 species
GACGAACCGUGCGAACGUUAUUCGGAAUCACUGGGCUUAAAGAGCGCGUAGGCGGUCCGAUAAGUCGGCUGUGAAAGUCAGGGGCUCAACCCUUGGAAGCCGGCCGAUACUGUCGGACUAGAGUCCGGAAGAGGCGAGUGGAAUUCCCGGUGUAGCGGUGAAAUGCGCAGAUAUCGGGAGGAACACCAAUGGCGAAGGCAGCUCGCUGGGACGGUACUGACGCUGAGGCGCGAAAGCGUGGGGAGCAAACAGG